CCCGGAUCCGCCACCCGGGUCCUGAGCCCGACGACGAAAUCCCCGUUUCCAGCUUUUCCCAACGCCAAAUUAAUGUAAAACCACCCAAACUCGGGACUUUUGUCCACCAACGCAAAAGCGAUUCCCGUAAAUUCAACGCCGGGGGAAAAACGCAUCUUCCUCGGCGGUUUCUUGGAAGAUGCAUUAAAAAAAUAAAAAAAUAAUAAAAAUGAAAAAAAUAAAUAGAUUAUUUAGAAUAGAAAAAAAAAAACUGAAUAUUUGGAAUAGAAAAAAAUUAAACAGAAAAUCCCCCAAAGCCCCCGGUGCCUGGUGCCAGGGGAUGCUCAGGCAAAUGCCUUGCACAGAUAAGGCCCGAAGAGCUAUUUCGGGAGGUCUGCAGGAGGUGGAAAGCUGCACGCCCCCUGUUAUCCCAGCCGCGGUGGCGAAAUAUGGUCGAAUAACGCGUUCAGAAUGUGCUUGGAAUGAAACCGACGGGAUCUGAGCACUCCACGCGUACGGGAGCGGAGCAAAUUCUCUUCUGGGUGCUUGUCCCAGCACCCCGAGGAAGUGCUGAGCGUCUCCUUCAGUUCUGGGUUCUGCAAAUCCCCUUGGAGGGGCGUUGCUCUGUAGGAACACCGACCCCCGCACAGCCCCGUGCAUCCUUCACGUCCUUCUGCUUGCUGUCGAUAGUUCCUCACAAAACGAAAGCACGGUGUUUCUUCCUGUAGACAAUUCCUCCUUGGAGUACUGGAGUAUUGAAAUUGUCUUCCGAGUCCCAAGAGAGAGGGGGAAAAAAUAGAAAAUAGUUUGACCUACAUUCACAGGAAGAGUUCUUGAGUUAGCAACUUCCAAGCGGUUUUCCAAAUUAAAGCUCAGCAAGAACUGGCUCACUUCCCAAAACUAACGAACAACAACAAACUCA